UAAAGUUUGACUCUGGCUAAUUAUUUUCUUUUUGAUAUAGAGUGCAUGUAAAUUUAAGUAUGACAAUAUUUUUCUGUUUCCUAGAUGGAUUAAAGUAAAUAUAUUAGUAAAUUUUGUUAGUGACUAUUAAAUUCUCAGCAUAUAGUAUUAGGUUAUUAGUUAAAGCUAGAACUAGGAAAUCAUAUAAAGCCUGGCUAAAAUUGUGCCAGCCGCCGCGGUUAUACUGUGAGGCUAAGUAAAUGAUGUUUGGUUAAAUCGAGUUAUUAUGUUAUUUCUCCUAGUAAAAAUAAGCUAUUAGGUGUAAGUGAAAUGAAUAAUUAAGAUAUUAUUUUUACUAGAGAUUAAUAAAUAAGAGGCUUUUAAGUUUGAGGCAUAAACCAGGAUUAGAUACCCUGUUAUACUUAGAUUAAAAAAUAUUACCUGGGUAGUACAUAGUUAUUUUCUUGAAACCCAAAGAGUUUGGCGGUAUCUCAGCCUAGUUAGAGGAGCUUGUUCCGUAAUCGAUAAUCCGCGAAAAAUCUUACAUAUUCUUGCAAGCAGUUUAUAUACCGUCGUUAUUAGAUAAUGUUAAAAGAUAUAUAAUUAUCUAGAUAUAAUGAAAUAUAGUAUAUCAGAUCAAGGUGUAACUUAUGAAUAUGGUGUGAAUGAGCUACAAUUUGUAUUAAUAUAAAUACGAAAAUUAACUUUAAAUUAGUUAGUGGAAGGUGGAUUUAAUAGUAAUUAUGCUUUUAGUAAGUUGUAAUGAUAAAAGCUCUGAGAUAUGUACACAUCGCCCGUCGCUCUCACUACAAAGUGAGAUAAGUCGUAACAUAGUAGGAGUACUGGAAAGUGCUCCUAGAAUG
rnacentral:ncRNA from 1 species